CCUACGGGAGGCAGCAGUGGGGAAUAUUGGGCAAUGGGCGCAAGCCUGACCCAGCAACGCCGCGUGAAGGAAGACGGCUCUCGGGUUGUAAACUUCUUUUGUCAGGGAAGAGUAGAAGACGGUACCUGACGAAUAAGCCACGGCUAACUACGAGCCAGCAGCCGCGGUAAUACGUAGGUCGCAAGCGUUGUACGGAUUUACUGGGUGUAAAGGGCGUGUAGCCGGGUUGACAAGUCAGAUGUGAAAUUCUGCGGAUUAACCGCAGAACUGCAUUUGAAACUGUUUGUCUUGAGUACUGGAGAGGUAGGCGGAAUGCGUAGUGUAGCGGUGAAAUACGUAGAUAUUACGAAGAACUCCGGUGGCGAAGGCAGUCUACUGGACCGCAACUGACGGUGAGGCGCGAAAGCGUGGGUAGCAAACAGGAUUAGAUACCCUUGUAGUC
rnacentral:rRNA from 1 species